rnacentral:lncRNA from 10 species
GCUGGGAGGGAGACCAGGGCGCAGUUCCGGGCGCGUCUGAGCGGUUCUCGAGGCGUUCUCGCCUCGGUCUCUGGCGAGUGCACGGAUCAAAAGCAGCAUGGAUCUGCCUGUGGAUGAAUGGAAAUCAUAUCUGCUUCAAAAGUGGGCUUCACUCCCGACGUCUGUUCAGGUCACAAUUUCUACAGCAGAGACCUUGAGGGAUAUCUUUCUUCACUCCUCUUCACUUCUUCAGUUGGAGUGUGAUGGUGCGAUCUCAGCUCACUGCAACCUUCACCUCCCAGGCUCAAGCGAUUCUCGUGCCUCGGCCUCCCAAUAGCUGAGACUACAAGUGCUUGCCACCACGCCCGGCUAAUUUUUGUAUUUUUUGUGGAGGUGGGUUCCACUAUGUUGCCCAGGCUGGUCGCAAACUCGUGGACCAGGUGACCUGCCCACCUCGGCCUCCCAGAGUGCUGGGAUUACAGACCUGAGGAUGAGCUGUUUCUAAAAAGACUUUCUAAAGGUUACUUGGUGGGAAA